CAGCUCCGAAUGGAAUCAACUCAAAGUUUAGUCCUCUGAAAUCAAUAUCACUAUUCAAGAAUCUCUCAGGUUGGUACUCCUCUGGAUCAUCCCACGACAAUGCAUCUCUUCCAAUUGCCCAGGCAUUAAUAAGGACUUGAGUUUUAGCAGGUAUGUGAUAGUCUAGUAAUUUUACGUCUUCCAUUGAUUCAUGAGGAACUAGUAGUGGAAACGGUGGAUGAAGCCGAAGUGUCUCUUUGAUCACUGCUUUAAGAUACUGCAUAUUUCCUAAGUCAUCCUCUGUUACCUCUGCUUUUCCUUGGGCUAAUCCUCGCACUUCAUUCUGUAAUGUUUCCAUGGCUCUUGGAUGCAUCAAAAACUCUGUCAUUAUCCACUCUAAAGUUGUAUAUAUUGAAUCCGUACCAGCAGUAAAUGAGUCCUUUGCAUUAAGAAAAACACAUAUAUAACAGUACGAAAAUGCUUAAAUAAAAUAAAAUUAAAACAAGACAAGCCAAGGAUGGAAUAGGUAGUUGUAAGAGAGAUACCAAAAGGAUAGCUUUCAGUGAAUCUCUUUGAAGAGGAAAACCAGUCUCCUUUCCAUCCUGAAUUUCCAGCAAAACGCCCACGAAAUCUUUAGCUUCACCCGCACUGCACUCUGCUUUCUUGUUCCUAAUCACGCCUUCUUCAAUCGCGCUCUCUAGAAAUGCAUCCAAAUCUUUAGCUACUUUCUUCACUCUACUGUCCAAACCGUUCAUUUUAUCGACCCAUUUAAGCCAUGGAAUAUAAUCUCCAAUGCUAAAUAUACCUAAAAGUAUAAGAAGCUCUUCUAGAAGAGCCUUAACAGGUAUUCCACUGUCCCCUCCAUUGGAUGUCCUUCCUGUGGUCACUCUGCUGAUUAUGUUAUUCGUCAUACAACUUAAAACAUCUCUCAUAUCUAUCACUGAAUUCGAAGAAUCACCACCUUGCCUGAUUUUUUCAAUCAUGUUCGAUGUUUCUUCUUCUCUGAUAUCACGAUAAGAUUGGACUCUUUUGUUGCUGAGCAGGUGAAGCACGGCGAUGCUUCUAAUUUGUCUCCAAUAUUCACCAUAGGGACUAAAUGGCACGUCUGUGGAGCCAUAAAGAAGUCCAUCAGCGAUGCUUGAUUUAGGUCUGCUUGACCAUACAAGAUCGUGUGUUUUCAUGAUAUCGCGAGCAGCAUCAACAGAGGAAGCAACGAGCACUGGUUUGCUGCCCAAGUGAAGUAGCAUGACUGGACCAUAUUUUUUGGAUAAUUUAUGGAGAGAACGGUGAGGAUGCGACCCAAGUUGGUGCAAAUUCCCUAUGAUUGGGAGCUUUCUUGGAGAUGGUGGUAAUUUUUUGUUAUUAUUGGAAGUAGUAAAGAAGAACCUUUGAAGAAAGAAAAUGAAAACAAACAGAGGAACAAUGACAGAAUACCAAGGGAACUCCAUUUUUUAAUUUAGCAAUUAUGAGAAAUUGGGAAUUGAGUAUAGAAAUAUGUAAUGUUUUAUCAUAUUAUAUUAAUAGAAGCUUCACCACAUAAAUUGAAGGAGACAAGCACCACAUAACAACUUUUUUGUUUUUUUUUCUUGGUUAAUUACUGCCCUUUGUUUCCUUGGACCAUUAUUUGAUAGUGUCAUGGGGCAUAUAGUAAUUUAUUAUUUUGGAGCUGAUUUGAAGUGAUGAUUUAACAAACUUUGGGAUCUAACAAGGGAAGUUGAAUAAGUUUGUCAUCACUAAAAAGGGGGAAAAUGUUAUUUUGGAGUUGAUUUGAAGUUUUGAUGAUUUAAUAAACUUUCUGAUCUAACAAGGGAUCUUGUCGAGGAAAGACUCCGUAAGUGAAAAAAAACAAAAAGAUAAUUGUCUAAAAACUGCCACAACUACCAACUCUAUUGUGGCUGGUGCAUGUCUUAUCGUAGCAGCAGACUUAGCCAAUGGCUUUGCCCGAAGGGUUUGUGUCCAUUUCAUACUAGUCUUCUUCUCAAAUGACACAAGCCAAGUUUUGGCAAACAAUGUUUGUGAAUUCUGAAAAUUCAUAAGCUCACAAAGAAAAAGCCAUCUUCAAGGAAGAACACUGCUUAUACUCAACAAGGGACCCGAUGGAGUGCUGAAGCGUCUUUUGCUAUAUUUUUGAGCUUUGUGUCUUGUGUUCUUAUAUUGUAAAACUACUCCUAAAUUAUAAAGGAUAAUAGAUCUGUUGCUUGUCUAAGUCUUUAGGUUGAGUCGGAUUAACUAGAGUUAGUUACUCAAAUCAUCUAUAUUUUAGUCAAGCCUCUUUACAUCAUUGUUUUGAUGUCUCUUAGGUAGAAUUGCCUAGGAGUGUCAACUAGAGUUAGUUGAUGUGUGGGUGCAACAAAGUUGCUGCUUGUUUACACUCCUAUCUUUGAGAUAUGAGUUGGUGGCUAGAGUUAGCCUUGUUGGGUUCUUGACGUUUAGAUCAACUAGAGUUAAUUGGUUUAGUGGGCAAUGGAGUUAUUGCUUAGUUUCCUUUGUAGUAGAGUUGUUACAGUAAGGGGGGAGGGUUUAAGAGUUUAAUUCCUAGGUUACAAGAAGUUGUAAUAUGAAGUUGUGCUCCGUUUUGAGUGAAAUGGAGUUUGGGUUGAAAUCAUAUACAAGUCGUGGUUUUCACCUCCCUUGAGCAAGGGGUUUCCAUGUAAAAUCCUUGUGCUUGAUUUACUUUGAGUUAUUUAUUUUCUGCACUAUUAUUUUAUCGAAGGACCUAGUCCAGUGAUCGCUAAUGGAUGCAUACGUUUUAUCAUAAUUUUUAUGCAAGCUUUACUAGUAUUCUGUAUGUAUAUUUCCACUAGUUAAUUUGUGCGGCCACAAAAUAAUAAAUAAAGAUACAGUCAAACCUCUCUAUAGUGGUACAGUGAUAGCAUUAGCCUGAACAUUUCAUGAGUGCUAUAGUGAGUUACUUGUUAUAUAUGUAUAUUGUCAUUUAAUUUUUAAACCUCAUUUAGUUGUUAUAAAAAAUAAGAACCAAAAAAAUUAGUAAAGUUAAGUUGGCCUCCAAGAAAGAAAAAGAAAAAGUCAUAAAAUAAUAGUCAUGUGCCAAAAUAAAAAGUAAACCACAAUUGGUCUACCACAAAUUUGGUUUGCUAGCCAAGAAGAAGCUUCAUAAGAAAAGUAUUUUGGCACAUGACUAUUAUUUCUUUGACUUUUUCUUUUUUAUUUUACUAGAACUCUACCCCUAUGGCUCUGUAGUAUUCGCAUGUUUUCACAACCUAGAUAUCUUUAGGGGAUGCAGAGCAUGUUUCUCUCUAGAGAAUGCAAACUGUAUUUAGCUCUUGUAACUCCAACUAAUGUGGAAAAUCUUUUUUAGACACUAAAGGUUAGGGCUUAAGAUCAGGAGGACAAUGCAAGCUAAUGGCUAACAGACCUGAUAGUUUAUGGAGAGACGGUUAGGUUGCGACCCAAGUUGGUGGUGAUACUUUUUUCGGGUAGUAACGAACGACUUAUGGAGAAAGAAAUGAAAACAAGUAGAGCGAGAACAUAAAAGAGAUAUACUAAACAUCUAAGAAAAAAGGAGUCAACCAGUACACUUCUUACAUACAGUGAAUUCUAAAUUCUCUUGCAAUGUCCUUUCCAAUAGGUUUCAAAUUAUUAUAUUUUAUGACAUAAUAAGAAAUGGAAGGGAAAAAAACUAAGUAGCGCACGGAGUUGCCACUGCUAGUAAAGGUAAUUUCCUGCGAAUGGAGAUGCCAGUGCAUUCACUCAUAUCCAAAUCCUCCUUUUUCAUUCCUUGUGGUAAUGCUAAAUUGAAUUUGUGCACAAUCUUUGCUAAUGCUAGCUCUAUUACCAUUAUAGCAAAAUUAAUUCCUGGGCAACCCCUCGUGCCAGCUCUGAACGGAAUCUGUUAGAUUAGGUCUUAGGCCUAACUCACACCCCAAAAACUAGCUCAAAGGGAGGAGGAUUGUCCAAGCCUUAUAAGGAGUCCACCCAUCUCAUUAACCACCGAUGUGGGACUUUUGUCAUUCUUUAACAGAAUCAACUCAAAGUUUAGUCCUCUGAAAUCAAUAUUACUAUUCAAGAAUCUCUCAGGUCGGUACUCCUCUGGAUCAUCCCAUGACAAUGGGUCUCUUCCGAUUGCCCAAGCAUUAAUAAGGACUUGAGUUUUAGCAGGUAUGUCAUAGUCUAGUAAUUUUACAUCUUCCAUUGAUUCACGAGGAACUAGUAGUGGAAACGGUGGAUUAAGCCUGAGGGACUCUUUGAUCACUGCUUUGAGAUACUGCAUAUUUCCUAAGUCGUCCUCUGUUACCUCUGCUUUUCCUUGGACUAAUUCUCGCACUUCAUUCUGUAAUUUCUCCAUGGCUCUUGGAUUCCUCAAAAGCUCUAUCAUUAUCCACUCUAAAGUUGUAUAUAUUGAAUCCGUACCAGCAGUAAAUAAGUCCUUUGCAUUAAGAGAAACACAAAUAAAAAUGAGUUUAUAAAAGAAGGCCUCAAGACAUAGGACAUAAACCACGAAUUUCUAAAUUAUACUAUUUAUUAUAUAAUAGAGAAUAUGAAAACAUAUCAGAAAUGUUGUAGAAAUUCAAACUAAAAGGGGCAUAAUAACAGGGUUAAUGUAGUUUACAAAAUAUAUGUAAAUAGUGCUAUAUACUACCAAAUAAUACAUAUAACAUAACAGAAGUGUACAUUUACAAAAAUUUCUCAUAACAAUAUUCUAAGUCACCAAGUUUUUAAAGUUGAACAAUGAAGCAAUAUACUAUAUCUUUUUUUUAAAAAAAAUAAAAUAACAUGCCAAGGGAAUAAGGAGUAUUACCAAAAGGAGAGCCUUCAAUGAAUCUCUUUGAAGAGGGAAACCAGUCUCUUUUCCAUUCUGAAUUUCCAGCAAAACGCCCACGAAAUCUUUAGCUUCACCCGCACUGUAUUCUGCUUUCUUGCUCCUUAUGACGCGUUCUUCAAUCACGCUCUCUAGAAAUUCAUCCAUAUCUUUUGCUACUUUCUUCACUCUAGUGUCCAGACCAUUAAUUUUAUUAACCCAUUUAAGCCAUGAAAUAUAAUCCCCAACGUUAAAAGUACCAAGAAGUUCAAGAAUUUCUUCUUCGAGAGCCUUAACAGCUAUCCCACUUUCCCCUUCAUAGUAUGUCCUUCCUAUGUUCACUCUGCUGAUUAUGUUAUUAGUCAUACAACUUAAAACAACUCUCAUAUGUAUCACAGAAUUACACUCUUGCCUGAUUUUUUCAAUCAUGUUUGAUGUUUCUUCUUCUCUCACAUGACAAUAAGAUUGAACUCUUUUGUUGCUGAGAAGGUGAAGCACAGCGAUGCUUCUAAUUUGUCUCCAGUAUUCACCAUAGGGACUAAAUGUCAUGUCUGUAGAGCCAUAAAGGAGUUCAUCAGCGAUGCUUGAUUUAGGUCUGUUUGACCAUACGAGAUCGUGAGUUUUCAUGAUAUCACGAGCAACUUCAGCAGAAGAAACAACAAUCACUGGCUUACUGCCCAAGUGAAGUAGCAUGACUGGACUAUAUUUUUUUGAUAGUUUAUGGAGAGAACGGUGAGGAUGUGAACCAAGCUGAUGCAGAUUUCCAAUGAUUGGGAGCUUUGUUGGAGAUGGUGGUAUUUUUUUAUUAUUAUUGGAAGUAGUAAAGCAGUUAUGAAGAAAGAAAAUGAAAACAAACAGAGGAACAGCAAUAUAAUACCAAGGAAGCUCCAUUUUCUUAUGUAGCGAUUUGGAGAAUUGAGUAUAGACAAAUGUAAUAUAUAUAAUCAUAUUUUUCUUGGUUCAUUAUUGUUUCCUUGGACCAUUAUUUGAUAGUACCAUGGGGCAUGUAGUAAUUUUUAUGCAAGCUUUACUAGCAUUCAGUAUUAUAAUUCCACAAAUUUGGUUUGCUAGGCAAGAAGAACAAUCUUCAUAAGCAAAGUAUUUUAGCACAUGACUAUUAUUUCCUUGACAUGCCACAACUGGGUUUGGUCCUCCUAUUUCUUGACUCUUUCUUUUUUAUUUCACUACAACUCUACCCCUAUGGCUCUGUAAUAUUCACAUGUUUCCACGACCUAGAUAUCUUUAGGAGAGGCAGAGCGUGUUUCUCUCUAGAGAAUGCAAAGUUUAUUUAGCUCUUGUAAACCCUAAUCAUCAACUAAGGGGUCGUUUGCAUUCGAGAACAUAAAAGAGAUAUACAAAACACCCAAGAAAAAAGGAGUCAACCAGUACACUUCUUACAUACAGUGAAUUCUGAAAUUCUCUUCCACUGCCCAUUUCAAUGGGUUUCAAAUUAUUAACUAUUUAGUAGUUUAGUACUUAUUACAUAUAUACUUAUUUACUACUAGUAUAUUUUAUGACAUUAUAAGAAAUUGAAAGAAAAAAACUAAAUACCGCACGGAGUUGCCACUGCUAGUAAAGGCAAUUUCCUGCGAAUGGAGAUGCCAGUGCAUUCACUCAUAUCCAAAUCCUCCUUUUUUAUUCCUUGUGGUAAUGCAAAAUUGAAUUUGUGCACAAGCCUUGCUAAUGCUAGCUCAAUUAUCACAAUAGCAAAAGGAAUACCUGGGCAACCCCUCCUGCCAGCUCCGAAUGGAAUCAACUCAAAGUUUAGUCCUCUGAAAUCAAUAUCACUAUUCAAGAAUCUCUCAGGUCGGUAUUCCUCUGGAUCAUCCCAUGACAAUGGGUCUCUUCCCAUUGCCCAAACAUUAAUAAGGACUUGAGUUUUAGCAGGUAUGUCAUAGUCCAGUAAUUUUACGUCUUCCAUUGAUUCUCGAGGAACUGGUAAUGGAAACGGUGGAUUAAGCCUGAGAGUCUCUUUGAUCACUGCUUUCAGAUAUUGCAUAUUUCCUAAGUCGUCCUCUGUUAUCUCUGCUUUCCC
rnacentral:lncRNA from 1 species